rnacentral:tRNA from 1 species
GGGCCGGUAACUCAGUGGUAGAGGUUAGCUCCCCGUUGGACUCUCGCAUCAAUCACAACUAACUCCCCCCAGUGUAGGAUUGCAGCCUUCUCAUAGCCGCUCAUCCCGAAGUCACCGGUUCGACUCCGGUUCGGCCCU